rfam:Exophiala mesophila strain CBS 40295 unplaced genomic scaffold supercont1.2, whole genome shotgun sequence.
GGUCGCGUGGCCUAAUGGUUAAGGCACCAGUUUUCGGUUGCGAAGCGUAGGCUCAGCUUAAAAUCACUGGGGAUUGGGAGUUCGAAUCUUCCCGCGAUCG